UACGUAGGGGGCAAGCGUUGUCCGGAAUUAUUGGGCGUAAAGAGCGCGUAGGCGGUCCGAUAAGUCGGCUGUGAAAGUCAGGGGCUCAACCCUUGGAAGCCGGCCGAUACUGUCGGACUAGAGUCCGGAAGAGGCGAGUGGAAUUCCUGGUGUAGCGGUGGAAUGCGCAGAUAUCAGGAAGAACACCAGUGGCGAAGGCGGCUCACUGGCCCGGUACUGACGCUGAGGCGCGAAAGCGUGGGGAGCAAACAGG
rnacentral:rRNA from 1 species